AUGCAUGUCUAAGUACAGGCUUUCACAAAGCGAAACCGCGAAUGGCUCAUUAGGUCGGACAUGGUUCCUUAGAUCGUACACUCCUACUUGGAUAACUGUGGUAAUUCUAGAGCUAAUACAUGCGAGCAAGCUCCGACCUCACGGGAAGAGCGCUUUUAUUAGAUCAAAACCAAUCGGGCCGCAAGGUCCGUGCCUUUGGUGACUCUGGAUAACUUUGUGCUGAUCGCACGGCCUCGAGCCGGCGACGUAUCUUUCAAGUGUCCGCCCUAUCAACUUUCGACGGUACGUGAUAUGCCUACCGUGGUUGUAACGGGUAACGGGGAAUCAGGGUUCGGUUCCGGAGAGGGAGCAUGAGAAACGGCUACCACA
rnacentral:rRNA from 1 species